GUGCCAGCAGCCGCGGUGAUACGUAGGGUGCGAGCGUUGUCCGGAUUUAUUGGGCGUAAAGGGCUCGUAGGUGGUUGAUCGCGUCGGAAGUGUAAUCUUGGGGCUUAACCCUGAGCGUGCUUUCGAUACGGGUUGACUUGAGGAAGGUAGGGGAGAAUGGAAUUCCUGGUGGAGCGGUGGAAUGCGCAGAUAUCAGGAGGAACACCAGUGGCGAAGGCGGNUCUCUGGGCCUUUCCUGACGCUGAGGAGCGAAAGCGUGGGGAGCGAACAGGCUUAGAUACCCUGGUAGUCC
rnacentral:rRNA from 1 species